GCACUUUUGGCGCAGUGGAUAGUGGGCGCGGCUGAUAAUCACAAGACCGGGGUUCGAUCCCCACGGUGGCA